rnacentral:rRNA from 1 species
GGGGAAUAUUGGACAAUGGGCGCAAGCCUGAUCCAGCCAUGCCGCGUGGGUGAAGAAGGCCUUCGGGUUGUAAAGCCCUUUUGUUGGGAAAGAAAUCCAGCCGGCCAAUACCUGGUUGGGAUGACGGUACCCAAAGAAUAAGCACCGGCUAACUUCGUGCCAGCAGCCGCGGUAAUACGAAGGGUGCUAGCGUUGUUCGGAAUUACUGGGCGUAAAGCGCACGUAGGCGGACAUUUAAGUCAGAGGUGAAAUCCCAGGGCUCAACCCUGGAACUGCCUUUGAUACUGGGUGUCUUGAGUACGAGAGAGGUGAGUGGAAUUCCGAGUGUAGAGGUGAAAUUCGUAGAUAUUCGGAAGAACACCAGUGGCGAAGGCGGCUCACUGGCUCGUAACUGACGCUGAGGUGCGAAAGCGUGGGGAGCAAACA